GACGUAGGGCGCGAGCGUUGUCCGGAUUUAUUGGGCGUAAAGAGCUCGUAGGCGGCUUGUCGCGUCGACUGUGAAAUCCCGCGGCUCAACUGCGGGUCUGCAGUCGAUACGGGCAGGCUAGAGUUCGGUAGGGGAGACGUGGAAUUCCUGGUGUAGCGGUGAAAUGCGCAGAUAUCAGGAGGAACACCGAUGGCGAAGGCAGGUCUCUGGGCCGAUACUGACGUGGAGGAGCGAAAGCGUGGGGAGCGAACAGG
rnacentral:rRNA from 1 species